GGGUAAGUGUGUUCAAGCCUGGGGAAUUGAGGACAUCUGGUCAUAUCCAGACAAAAUGUUUAAUCUGUGUAACUGGCAGUGGGCAGGGGUAACCCAGCUAGCCUGCCUUCCAAGUCAGGUCGGCUGCUCCUUGACUCUGCUUCUCAGGAGUGGUGCGCUGUGUUCCAUGGAUCUGAGGUGCCAUGUGCUGCUUUCUGCCCCCAGGAAAGAAGCAGACACUGAGGGAGAAUUUUAAAGACUUCAAAGAGCCCGAGUGGACUACCACAUCCCUGUAGCUGGCAGUCCUAUAGCUGGCGGUCCUACUUGUCCAGUAAGCUUACAAACAUUGGCUCCUCUCUGAAAAGGUCACCCUGCUUUUCAGACAGAAUUUGUGACUCUCGGCAGCUGGGAAUACUUUGGAACUGAAGAGAACCUAUUAGGAGAGAGAAAAAACAGAGUCAUUAUUAAGCCAAAAAAAAAAAAAAUGGAGAAAAGAUUCACCUCUAAAUUUUAUUUAAUGACAACAAAAACACACAACAUUUCUCUUUGAUUCAUAUAGUUAAUAAAUUCUACUUAUCGUUUGCAAUAA